rnacentral:rRNA from 1 species
UGGCGAAUUUUGGACAAUGGGGGAAACCCUGAUCCAGCCAUCCCGCGUGUGCGAUGAAGGCCUUCGGGUUGUAAAGCACUUUUGGCAGGAAAGAAACGUCAUGGGUUAAUACCCCGUGAAACUGACGGUACCUGCAGAAUAAGCACCGGCUAACUACGUGCCAGCAGCCGCGGUAAUACGUAGGGUGCAAGCGUUAAUCGGAAUUACUGGGCGUAAAGCGUGCGCAGGCGGUUCGGAAAGAAAGAUGUGAAAUCCCAGAGCUCAACUUUGGAACUGCAUUCUUAACUACCGGUCUAGAGUGUGUCAGAGGGAGGUGGAAUUCCGCGUGUAGCAGUGAAAUGCGUAGGUAUGCGGAGGAACACCGAUGGCGAAGGCAGCCUCCUGGGAUAACACUGACGCUCAUGCACGAAAGCGUGGGGAGCAAACAGG